AGGAACAUCUCUUAGAACACAUGUGUCCAAAAAUGAAUGGGUAGAGCAGAGGUUUCUUGUUUCGACCAUUUCGUUCUUUGCGGUGGAAGAGAGCGAGAUGGUGGAGGAAAUGGAAGGAAUAUAUGUGUAGGAUUUGGAGAUGUAGGAGAUGAAAUACGGUGGCAUUUUACGGCUUUGGGAAGGUGAUGUUAUGGACUGCCGUGGAGGAUCCUCAUCUCUUCAUCGAAUCCAGUCGGCGAAUUAUUUUCUCUUUCAUUCGAAAAUCGACUUGAGUCAUUGAAUUCACUUCUCUAGAAACAGGAAUUUUUCCAGCAAAAGUCCCAGACUUUGAAAAUGAAAAACAUUUGUUCUGAACUAACGCUUCACACCGCCUUUGACGUAAUUAAGAUGGAACUUAUGUACGUCUCAAUUGUCAGACCCAUUAUGGACUACAUCGAGGUGACCUUUCAUUAUAUAGAGUGCAUACAUUUCUAUUCCAAGAACUUUGAAUCACAGUUGGGACAGCAAGCUAGUGAAGUUACUCAAUUGCAGAUGGUGAUAUCAUUGAGAUAGCUAAUAUCGUCGAGAUAGCGGCUAUCAAUAAGAUGCGUGAUGAAAGAACAGAGGCAGGAUCUCUAUUUUAAGUCCAUAUUACUUAAAUAUGUAUCUGACUUUGGAUGGCUUUGAGUUCAAAUGAUAGUAUCACGUAGCAUCUGUUAACGACAGAUGAUUUGCGUCAAGCGGCACAAAUAGAAGAUACAUGCUAAGGCCAAGAAGGAAAUGGGAGCUCAAGGUUUUGAUUUAGUUUCCAUGUUUUCUAUAGUCCUUUUUAUUUUUAGGUCUGAUUUUGUUAUGAUGCUUGUGUAAGAUUGGAUGAAAAUGUAGACAUGUUGGUUUUUAAGAACCCUAAUAUCUUGCAUAUUUGCAUUGAUUUAAGUCUCCAAUUUGCACA